AGGACGAACGCUGGCGGCGUGCUUAACACAUGCAAGUCGAGCGGAAAGGCCCUUCGGGGUACUCGAGCGGCGAACGGGUGAGUAACACGUGAGUAACCUGCCCCUAGCUCUGGGAUAGCUCCGGGAAACCGGGAUUAAUACCAGAUACGACCACUUUAGACAUCUUUUGUGGUGGAAAGAAUUUCGGCUAGGGAUGAGCUCGCGGCCUAUCAGCUUGUUGGUGGGGUAACGCCUACCAAGGCGACGACGGGUA
rnacentral:rRNA from 1 species